UUUGUCAUCCCAUGUCGCUUGUUAACAAUUCAGCCUUGUUACUCUUCCAUCCAAGCCAUUUCCAUUCCACAAUAAUAAAUUUAACCCUUUAUAACAGGAGGAAACUAAAAAAUCUAAACAAAAUAUAAGAAAUACGCCAUUUUAUCACCAUGUAAAAUUUUGCUCACGAGUCUUUCGAAACAUUCCGUACAAAUAUCGCGUGACAAAGUAACAGGGACGUGACAGGAGGGGGUGAAUUAUUUCACGAAGAUAGAAGAAGGCUGCGUGAAAUAGACUAAAAGCUAAAUACAAU